CACGCAGGCGGUCGUGUAAGUUUGGGGUUACAGCUCCCGGCUCAACUGGGAGAGCGCCUUGAAGACUGCAGGACUUGAGGGCCAGAGAGGGACACAGAAUUCCGGGUGUAGUGGUGAAAUGCGUAGAUAUCCGGAGGAAUACCAAAGGCGAAGGCAGUGUCCUGGCUGGUGACUGACGCUGAGGUGCGAAAGCUAGGGGAGCGAACGGGAUUAGAUACCCCGGUAGCCCUAGCCGUAAACGAUGACCACUAGGUGUGGGAGGUAUCGACCCCUUCCGUGCCGUAGCUAACGUGAUAAGUGGUCCGCCUGGGGAGUACGGUCGCAAGAUUAAA
rnacentral:rRNA from 1 species